rnacentral:lncRNA from 10 species
AUUCAAGUUACCAUCUGGGAUGCAAAACCUGGGCCUUCAUCAGACACCAAACCUGUGAAUACCUUGAUCUUGGAAUGUCCAUCCUCCAAAACUCAUCUGGAUUAUGAGUGUGUCUACGCAUUUUAGAACAGUCAGCAGCCUCAUCUGCAGAGAAUCUUCCAGUUUCCCUAGUCCCAGAAGAGGAGCUGAGUCAGCUGCUUUUUCAGGUGGUCCUAGUUCACAGACAGCCUAGGCACAGCCAGACAACCAUCGUCAGCAAAGUCAUCUCUCAUCACAUAGUAGGCUGCACCCUUGUUAGCCUAAAAAUCUAUACGUUGAGUUCACUAACAGCACUAAUUUCAAUUUUGCAUGUUGAUCUUUUUAUUAAGGUCCGUUUUCUUGAAUCUUCA